AGUGAACGCUGGCGGUAGGCCUAACACAUGCAAGUCGAACGGCAGCACAGGAGAGCUUGCUCUCUGGGUGGCGAGUGGCGGACGGGUGAGGAAUACAUCGGAAUCUACUCUGUCGUGGGGGAUAACGUAGGGAAACUUACGCUAAUACCGCAUACGACCUACGGGUGAAAGCAGGGGAUCUUCGGACCUUGCGCGAUUGAAUGAGCCGAUGUCGGAUUAGCUAGUUGGCGGGGUAAAGGCCCACCAAGGCGACGAUCCGUAGCUGGUCUGCGAGGAUGAUCAGCCACACUGGAACUGGGACACGGUCCAGACUCCUACGGGAGGCAGCAGUGGGGAAUAUUAGACAAUGGGCGCAAGCCUGAUCCAGCCAUACCGCGUGGGUGAAGAAGGCCUUCGGGUUGUAAAGCCCUUUUGUUGGGAAAGAAAUCCAGCUGGCUAAUACCCGGUUGGGAUGACGGUACCCAAAGAAUAAGCACCGGCUAACUUCGUGCCAGCCGCCGCUGUAA
rnacentral:rRNA from 1 species